rnacentral:rRNA from 1 species
CAGUAGCCGCGGUAAUACAGAGGAUGCAAGCGUUAUCCGGAAUGAUUGGGCGUAAAGCGUGCGCAGGCGGUUGUGUAAGACAGGUGUGAAAUCCCCGGGCUUAACCUGGGAACUGCGCUUGUGACUGCACAGCUAGAGUAUGGCAGAGGGGGGUGGAAUUCCACGUGUAGCAGUGAAAUGCGUAGAGAUGUGGAGGAACACCGAUGGCGAAGGCAGCCCCCUGGGCCAAUACUGACGCUCAUGCACGAAAGCGUGGGGAGCGAACAGGAUUAGAUACCCCAGUAGUCCCUGUCUCUUAUAA